rnacentral:rRNA from 1 species
AUUGAACGCUGGCGGCAUGCCUUACACAUGCAAGUCGAACGGUAACAGGUCUUCGGAUGCUGACGAGUGGCGAACGGGUGAGUAAUACAUCGGAACGUGCCCGAUCGUGGGGGAUAACGGAGCGAAAGCUUUGCUAAUACCGCAUACGAUCUACGGAUGAAAGCAGGGGGCCGCAAGGCCUUGCGCGGACGGAGCGGCCGAUGGCAGAUUAGGUAGUUGGUGGGAUAAAAGCUUACCAAGCCGACGAUCUGUAGCUGGUCUGAGAGGACGACCAGCCACACUGGGACUGAGACACGGCCCAGACUCCUACGGGAGGCAGCAGUGGGGAAUUUUGGACAAUGGGCGCAAGCCUGAUCCAGCCAUGCCGCGUGCAGGAUGAAGGCCUUCGGGUUGUAAACUGCUUUUGUACGGAACGAAAAGGUCUUUUCUAAUAAAGAAGGCUGACGACGGUACCGUAAGAACAAGCACCGGCUAACUACGUGCCAGCAGCCGCCGUAAUAC